UCGGCGGGGAAGAAAUCGCAUGGGUUAAUACCCUGUGCGGAUGACGGUACCGGCAUAAGAAGCACCGGCUAACUACGUGCCAGCAGCCGCGGUAAUACGUAGGGUGCGAGCGUUAAUCGGAAUUACUGGGCGUAAAGCGUGCGCAGGCGGUUUGUUAAGAUAGGCGUGAAAUCCCCGGGCCCAACCUGGGAACUGCGCUUAUGACUGGCAAGCUAGAGUACGGCAGAGGGGGGUGGAAUUCCACGUGUAGCAGUGAAAUGCGUAGAGAUGUGGAGGAACACCAAUGGCGAAGGCAGCCCCCUGGGUCGAUACUGACGCUCAUGCACGAAAGCGUGGGUAGCAAACAGGAUUAGAUACCCUGGUAGUCCACGCCCUAAACGAUGUCAACUAGGUGUUGGACGGGUAAGACCAUUUAGUACCGGAGCUAACGCGUGAAGUUGACCGCCUGGGGAGUACGGCCGCAAGGUUAAAACUCAAAGGAAUUGACGGGGACCCGCACAAGCGGUGGAUGAUGUGGAUUAAUUCGAUGCAACGCGAAAAACCUUACCUACCCCUGACAUGUCCAGGAGCCUGAAGAGAUUUGGGUGUGCCCGAAAGGGAGCUGGAACACAGGUGCUGCAUGGCUGUCGUCAGCUCGUGUCGUGAGAUGUUGGGUUAAGUCCCGCAACGAGCGCAACCCUUGUCGUUAAUUGCCAUCAUUUAGUUGGGCACUUUAACGAGACUGCCGGUGACAAACCGGAGGAAGGUGGGGAUGACGUCAAGUCCUCAUGGCCCUUAUGGGUAGGGCUUCACACGUCAUACAAUGGUCGGUACAAAGGGUUGCCAAGCCGCGAGGUGGAGCCAAUCCCAGAAAGCCGAUCGUAGUCCGGAUUGCAGGCUGCAACUCGCCUGCAUGAAGUCGGAAUCGCUAGUAAUCGUGGAUCAGCAUGUCACGGUGAAUACGUUCCCGGGUCUUGUACACACCGCCCGUCACACCAUGGGAGCGGGUUCCGCCAGAAGUAGGUAGCCUAACCGCAAGGGGGGCGCUUACCACGGCGGGGUUCGUGACUGGGGUGAAGUCGUAACAAGGUAGCCGUA
rnacentral:rRNA from 1 species